UUCGAAGCAACGCGAAGAACCUUUACCAGGGCUUGACAUCCCUUGAAGCAGCUAGAGAUAGCUGUGUCCUUCGGGACAAGGAGACAGGUGGUGCAUGGUUGCCGUCAGCUCGUGUCGUGAGAUGUUGGGUUAAGUCCCGCAACGAGCGCAACCCCUGUGGUUAGUUGCCAGCAAGUAGCGUUUGGGCACUCUAGCCAGACUGCCGGUGAUAAAUCGGAGGAAGGUGGGGACGACGUCAAAUCAUCAUGCCCUUUAUGUCCUGGGCUACACACGUACUACAAUGGCCGUUACAACGGGAAGCGAAGGAGCAAUCCGGAGCAAAUCCCUUAAAGGCGGUCCCAGUUCAGAUUGUGGGCUGAAACUCGCCCACAUGAAGGCGGAAUUGCUAGUAAUUGCAGAUCAGCAUGCUGCAGUGAAUACGUUCCCGGGCCUU
rnacentral:rRNA from 1 species